rnacentral:lncRNA from 1 species
CAUUUCAUACUAGUUUUUUUUUUUUUUCUUUUUUUUUUUCUAUACAAAUUAUGGCUAUAUUUUAAGACAUAAACAAUUUGUUAAUAUUGUUAGAUUAAUGUCUAAUGAACCAUCACUCUUGUUUUUUUUUUUUUUUUUUUUUUUUUUAACGUAACUAUUUAAUAAUUUUUUAAAAGUGAAUAAAAAUAUAUGUAUUAAAAAAGAGAAGCAUUUUUUUUUUUUUUUUUUUUUGCUUAAAUAAAAUCAAAUACUUGGCAAAAAAAAAAAAAAAAAAAAAAAAAAAAAAAAAAAAAAAAAAAAAAAAAAAAAAAAAAAAAAAAAAAAAAAAAUGAACCGUUCAUAUUUUUUAAAACAAAAAAACAGCUA